rnacentral:rRNA from 1 species
AGAGUUUGAUCAUGGCUCAGGAUUAACGCUGGCGGCGUGCCUAACACAUGCAAGUCGAACGAGGUAGCAAUACCUAGUGGCAGACGGGUGAGUAACGCGUGGUCAACCUACCUUUGAGUGGGGGAUAACUAGCCGAAAGGCUAGCUAAUACCGCAUAACAUCAAAGCCGGCAUCGGCGAUGAUUGAAAGCAGCAAUGCUCUCGAAGACGGGACCGCGUCCGAUUAGCUAGUUGGUGAGGUAAUGGCUCACCAAGGCUGCGAUCGGUAGCUGGUUUGAGAGAACGACCAGCCACACUGGGACUGAGAACGGCCCAGACUCCUACGGGAGGCAGCAGUGAGGAAUUUUCCGCAAUGGGCGCAAGCCUGACGGAGCGACGCCGCGUGUGGGAAGAAGGCCUUCGGGUCGUAAACCACUGUCGAAGGGGAAGAUAUUGACGGUACCCUUGGAGGAAGCCCCGGCUAACUACGUGCCAGCAGCCGCGGUAAGACGUAGGGGGCAAGCGUUAUUCGGAAUUAUUGGGCGUAAAGCGCUCGUAGGCGGGACAGGAAGUCCGUGAAGAAAGACCUGGGCUCAACUCAGGGAACGGCACGGAUACUCUUGUUCUUGAGGCAAUCAGAGGGUGAUGGAAUUCCCGGUGUAGCGGUGAAAUGCGUAGAUAUCGGGAGGAACCCAGUGGCGAAGGCGAUCACCUGGGGUUGUUCUGACGCUGAGGAGCGAAAGCCAGGGGAGCAAACGGGAUUAGAUACCCCCGUAGUCC